GCUAUAUGGUCCUCAAAUUUGGCUCAUAAUAAACUCACCCCAGUGCUGCCCCAUGAUGUACAGUCCUUUUCCACAAUGUUGGAGAUGAAGCUGGGCCUUGAGUCUGCGCCUGCAUAUUCCUACAGCUUCUCAGAGUCCUAUGGACAAUGACUGAGGAGACAAACCAUGCAGGAAACAUCU